rfam:Toxocara canis scaffold123, whole genome shotgun sequence.
GUGGCAGUAGCUCAGUGGUAGAGCCCUCGCCUCGCAUGCGGGGAGACCUCAGUUCGAUUCCCGCCUGCCUCC